GGAUUGCAGUGCUGACCUCCAACAAGGCCCAUAUCUCUAAAAUAUCCAGAAUGGUUAAAUUUGUCCAGUGGUAUGAGGUCUACAACGUGUUGUUAGGCUGGGGAGAGCUGAAAGGGGAGGGAGGACUUGUCUGAAUUUAUUGCUAAUCCCAAACAAAUGAAGAAGCAGAAGCCUUCACCUUCUGGAAGCUGGCACAAACAGUUUUUAGAGCAAGCAGAUUUGGAAAAAUGAAACAGUUUUGGAGCAGAAGAACACUUCCUGUGAGUUUGAGGCUGUCCUGUAAAGAUCAAAAGAAGCAUAAUGAGAAGAGCCAGAAUGUUGUUGGCUGCUGGCAGUGUUAUCUGAAUUUGGAUUGAAGUUUCUGUG
rnacentral:lncRNA from 1 species